GAUGAACGCUGGCGGCGUGCUUAACACAUGCAAGUCGAACGGAAAGGCCUCAGCUUGCUGGGGUGCUCGAGUGGCGAACGGGUGAGUAACACGUAGGUUAUCUGCCUUUCACUUCGGGAUAAGCUUGGGAAACUGGGUCUAAUACCGGAUAUUCACGGCACCGUGGUUGGUGUGGUGGAAAGCUUUUGCGGUGGGAGAUGAGCUUGCGGCCUAUCAGCUUGUUGGUGGGGUAAUGGCCUACCAAGGCGGCGACGGGUAGCCGGCCUGAGAGGGUGUGCGGCCACAUUGGGACUGAGAUACGGACCAGACUCCUACGGGAGGCAGCAGUGGGGAAUUUUGCACAAUGGGCGGAAGCCUGAUGCAGCGACGCCGUGUGGGGGAUGAAGGCCUUCGGGUUGUAAACUACUUUCGUCAGGGACGAAGUUUGUUUGACGGUACCUGGAUAAGAAGCACCGGCUAACUACGUG
rnacentral:rRNA from 1 species